rnacentral:rRNA from 1 species
GAGUUUGAUCCUGGCUCAGGAUGAACGCUGGCGGCGUGCUUAACACAUGCAAGUCGAGCGAAGCAUUAAAACAGAUUUCUUCGGAUUGAAGUUCUAAUGACUGAGCGGCGGACGGGUGAGUAACGCGUGGGUGACCUGCCUCAUACAGGGGGAUAACAGACAGAAAUGUCUGCUAAUACCGCAUAAGCGCACGGUGCUGCAUGGCACCGUGUGAAAAACUCCGGUGGUAUGAGAUGGACCCGCGUCUGAUUAGCUAGUUGGUAAGGUAACGGCUUACCAAGGCGACGAUCAGUAGCCGGCCUGAGAGGGUGAACGGCCACAUUGGGACUGAGACACGGCCCAAACUCCUACGGGAGGCAGCAGUGGGGAAUAUUGCACAAUGGGGGAAACCCUGAUGCAGCGACGCCGCGUGAAGGAAGAAGUAUUUCGGUAUGUAAACUUCUAUCAGCAGGGAAGAAAAUGACGGUACCUGACUAAGAAGCCCCGGCUAACUACGU